GGUGUAAGAAUACAUACAUGGUGUAUUCUUACACCAUGGAUAAUACAACCUCAAUAAAUAGCUGAGUAUCGUAGCUGUGACAGCUGUGUAGCUAACACUGUGAUUUUGUGUGCCUAUCUCGUUGGAAUCAUUCAUUGAAUACCUAUACUGAAAGGACGAAGAAAGAUGACCAAGUGCGUCCCGCAAUUGCCGCCUUCCGGGAACUAUGGCAUAUGAUUGACGGUGGCACCUUUCUUAGGAUCAUUCAUCGAACUUAAAGAAAUCAUCAGCCUGCGAAAUGUGUUCAAAAGUUAAUCUCUCUGUAAUUGUCCCGAUCGCAUAUUAAUUGGCUAGUUCGAGAGAAUGAUUACGCACACAAAUUUUAGAGUUUUGGGAAUUUAGAGCUCGUCGACUUUCAAUUGGAAUCGGUUUUAUAAUUAGAUCGUUACAUCAUCUCUAUGAUUACAUCUCAAAAUAUCCCGCAUAAGACACAGGCUGCAAUCGGAAAUUCGCAAUUUUGAUUGUAAAUAAUUACAGGUCCUCUUUAGAACUUGAAUAUUUGUAAAGUUAUAUACUUUUUUCAAAAAAAAAAAAAAAAUAAAGCUGAAGAGAUUUAUAGUUUUCAAGUGAUUUUACAGAAAUUAUUUUUAAAAAAAUGUUGAACUUUAUAGAAUCUUUUUUAUAGAACUCUAAAAAAUAUGACUCUUAAACAAUAAGGAGCAUCAUAAAUAAAUAAUCUUCUGAUGCUUCAAA